rnacentral:rRNA from 1 species
AACGAACGCUGGCGGCAGGCUUAACACAUGCAAGUCGAGCGGGGUGAUGGUGCUUGCACUAUCACUUAGCGGCGGACGGGUGAGUAAUGCUUAGGAAUCUGCCUAUUAGUGGGGGACAACAUCUCGAAAGGGAUGCUAAUACCGCAUACGUCCUACGGGAGAAAGCAGGGGAUCACUUGUGACCUUGCGCUAAUAGAUGAGCCUAAGUCGGAUUAGCUAGUUGGUGGGGUAAAAGCCUACCAAGGCGACGAUCUGUAGCGGGUCUGAGAGGAUGAUCCGCCACAUUGGGACUGAGACACGGCCCAGACUCCUACGGGAGGCAGCAGUGGGGAAUAUUGGACAAGGGGGGGAACCCUGAUCCAGCCAUGCCGCGUGUGUGAAGAAGGCCUUAUGGUUGUAAAGCACUUUAAGCGAGGAGGAGGCUCUUUUGGUUAAUACCCAAGAUGAGUGGACGUUACUCGCAGAAUAAGCACCGGCUAACUACGUGCCAGCCGCCGCCGUAA